UUACCCUUGUUGUUGUCUCCGAAGGUGACAUAGCCUUCGUCUAUGCUAGUGAGCUUAGAGAAUUGAGAUGGAUCUCCGGUCAUAUGCCUUGAGCAUCCACUAUCAAGGUACCAUCUGUAAUAUCCCCCACUUUUAAAAAUGUAUUAAUAAGGAUUUAUAUGUAAAUUGGGGGACCUAUAUGUAAAUAUAGAAAUUACAAGGACUAAACUGCUAAGUUGCAAAAAGAAAAAAAAAAAAGAAAAGGAAAAACCGAAAAUUCGGUAUUAUCCCACCGCCUCCCACGCACUCUGUUUCUUUCCAGAAACAGAGAGAGCGGUGGGGCGUGAGGAGAAGAAGGAGAGUGGUUGAAGAAAAGAAGAAGAAGAGGGAAAAGAAGAGAGGAGGAAGAAGAGAGGAAGAAGAGGGAGAAGAGAAGAAGAUGAAGAAGAAGAAGAAGAGGAGGUGGCUGCAGCGAGGGCUGCAGCGAGAAGCUGUGGGGCGUGGGGAGAAGAAGAGAGGAAGAAGAGGGAGAAGAGAAGAAGAAGAAGAAGAAGCAGAAGAAGAAGAAGAAGAGAGGAUGAUAGCUGCGGCAAGGCUGCAGCGAGGAGGUGUGUGGGGUUGGGGAGGAAAAGGGAAGAGGAGAAGAAAAGAAGGAGAAGAAGAGGGAAAAGAGAGGGAAGAGGGAGAGGAGCGAGAGGUGGCAGCAGCUAGGGCUGCAGCACCUCUGUUUCCUGCAGGUGGAAACAGAGGAGAGGUGGGGCGUUCGAAGAGGAGAAGAAGAAGAAGAAGGAAGAGAAGAGGAAGAGGAAGCAGGAGAAGAGGUUGUGAUACCUCUGUUUCCUGCAGAGGAAACAGAGGAGAGGGUGUGUGUGACGUCGGGGAGAAGAAGGGGAGGAAGGAGAAGAAGAGAAGAAGAAGAAAGGAAGGAGAGGAAGAAGAGAAGGGAAAGGAGGAGCUGCGGCUGCGGCGGUGGCAGCUGCAGCUGGAAGAGAAGGAGAGGAAGAGAUGGUGAGGAAGAAGAGAAGAAGUAGAAGCGGGUGAAGAGGCGGCACCUCUGUUUCCUGCAGGAGGAAACAGAGGAAAGGAGGUGCUGUUCGUCGGGGAGAAGAAGGGGGCUGCAGCUGCGGCGAUGGCAGCUGCAGCUGGAAGAGAAGAAGAAGAGGAAGAUGAGCAGGGGAGGAGGGAGAGGUUGCGGCCGUGGCUGCGGCCGCGACUGCAGCAGUUGCAGCGGGGAGAGAAGAAGAAGAAAGGAAGGAGAAGGAAGAGGAGAAGGGAAAGAAGUAGCUGCGGCUGCGGUUGUGGCAGCUGCAGCUGUGGCAGGGAAAGAGGAAGAGAAAAAGGAAAGGAAGAAGAAGAGAAAGGGAAGGAGAGGAAGAAGAGAGGAAGAGGAGAAGGGGCUGCGGCUGCGGCGAUGGCAGCUGCAGCUGUGGCUGGGAAAGAAGAGAAGGAAAGGAAGAAGAAGAGAAAGGGAAGGAGAGGAAGAAGAGAGGAAGAGGAGAAGGGGUGGCAGCUGCGGCAGUGGCAGCUGCAGCUGGAAGAGGAGGAGGAAAUAGAGCAGGGGAGGAAGAAGAGGCUGCGAGUGUGGUGGCUGCGGCCGUGGCUGCGACCCCGGCUGCGGCUGCGACGUUGGCUGCGGCAGCGGUGGUGGCUGCAGUAGCUGCAGUAGCUGCUUUUGGGAAAGAGAAAGAGUAGGAACGAGAGAAGGGAAGAAGGAAAUAGUGCAGUGGAAGGGGGCUGCGGUUGUGACCGCAGUUGCGAUUGUGGCAGCGGCAGCGGCGGCGGCUGUGGCAGCUGCGUUUGGGAAAGAAAAAGAAGGAAUGAGAGUAAGAGAGAGAGCAGGUGACUGUGCCUCGAUGUUCGACACGUGAUGUAGUUACGAAAAAAGGAAGAAAACGGGAGCACAAAACGAAACAGAGAGAGGACACGGAGGAAAAGUAGAAAGAUUGGACUGGCACCUUCCUUGGAUAUUCAGAUCAAAAUAUUUGAAAGGUCAGCUUGUCACUCUUCGAGAUGUUUGAUUUGGGCUGAGGCAGUGGAUAGCUAUUCAGAAUUAUGGGCAAGUCCUGUUGGUUGUUAUGCUAUUGUUGUAUAAGCAUAUUUUGUAUGUAAUGAAUUGUUCUGAUGAUCGAAAUGGAUAUACUGUGUAAAAGUGUUAGAAGAUCUCUCUUAUUUGGAAUUUCGGAAUGUUAAAUCUAAUUUAUGACGAUAUGAACUUGUGGUGAAUAGUUGGAGUUCUGAUUGUAUAAUUUAUUUAGCUUGUGGAUUUAUAAAUGUUGUUCAUGUUUGUCAA